rnacentral:tRNA from 1 species
GGAGGGGUGGCUGAGUGGCUGAAGGCGACGGUUUGCUAAAUCGUUAUACGAGGUAACUUGUAUCAAGGGUUCGAAUCCCUUUCCCUCCGCCA